rnacentral:rRNA from 1 species
CGACAGGCUUAACUCAUGCAAGUCGAGGGGCAGCACAGGUAGCAAUACCGGGUGGCGACCGGCGCACGGGUGAGUAACGCGUAUGCAACUUACCUAUCAGAGGGGGAUAACCCGGCGAAGGUCGGACUAAUACCGCAUGAAGCAGGGGCCCCGCAUGGGGAUAUUUGCUAAAGAUUCAUCGCUGAUAGAUAGGCAUGCGUUCCAUUAGGCAGUUGGCGGGGUAACGGCCCACCAAACCGACGAUGGAUAGGGGUUCUGAGAGGAAGGUCCCCCACAUUGGUACUGAGACACGGACCAAACUCCUACGGGAGGCAGCAGUGAGGAAUAUUGGUCAAUGGCCGAGAGGCUGAACCAGCCAAGUCGCGUGAGGGAUGAAGGUUCUAUGGAUCGUAAACCUCUUUUAUAAGGGAAUAAAGUGCGGGACGUGUCCCGUUUUGUAUGUACCUUAUGAAUAAGGAUCGGCUAACUCCGUGCCAGCAGCCGCGGUAAUACGGAGGAUCCGAGCGUUAUCCGGAUUUAUUGGGUUUAAAGGGUGCGUAGGCGGCCUUUUAAGUCAGCGGUGAAAGUCUGUGGCUCAACCAUAGAAUUGCCGUUGAAACUGGGGGGCUUGAGUAUGUUUGAGGCAGGCGGAAUGCGUGGUGUAGCGGUGAAAUGCAUAGAUAUCACGCAGAACCCCGAUUGCGAAGGCAGCCUGCCAAGCCAUUACUGACGCUGAUGCACGAAAGCGUGUGGAUCAAACAGGAUUAGAUACCCUGGUAGUCCACGCAGUAAACGAUGAUCACUAGCUGUUUGCGAUACACUGUAAGCGGCACAGCGAAAGCGUUAAGUGAUCCACCUGGGGAGUACGCCGGCAACGGUGAAACUCAAAGGAACUGACGGGGGCCCGCACAAGCGGAGGAACAUGUGGUUUAAUUCGAUGAUACGCGAGGAACCUUACCCGGGUUUGAACGCAUUCGGACCGAGGUGGAAACACCUUUUCUAGCAAUAGCCGUUUGCGAGGUGCUGCAUGGUUGUCGUCAGCUCGUGCCGUGAGGUGUCGGCUUAAGUGCCAUAACGAGCGCAACCCUUGCCACUAGUUACUAACAGGUGAUGCUGAGGACUCUGGUGGGACUGCCAGCGUAAGCUGCGAGGAAGGCGGGGAUGACGUCAAAUCAGCACGGCCCUUACAUCCGGGGCGACACACGUGUUACAAUGGCGUGGACAAAGGGAGGCCACCUGGCGACAGGGAGCGAAUCCCCAAACCACGUCUCAGUUCGGAUCGGAGUCUGCAACCCGACUCCGUGAAGCUGGAUUCGCUAGUAAUCGCGCAUCAGCCAUGGCGCGGUGAAUACGUUCCCGGGCCUUGUACACACCGCCCGUCAAGCCAUGGGAGCCGGGGGUACCUGAAGUCCGUAACCGAAAGGAUCGGCCUAGGGUAAAACUGGUGACUG